UCGAGAGGCUUCGGCAAUGGGGGAAACCCUGACCGAGCGACGCCGCGUGGAGGAUGAAGGCCUUUGGGUUGUAAACUCCUGUCAUGAGGGAAGAAACGUCACCGUUCGAAUAGGUCGGUGACCUGACGGUACCUCAAGAGGAAGCUCCGGCUAACUCCGUGCCAGCAGCCGCGGUAAUACGGGGGGAGCAAACGUUGUUCGGAAUCACUGGGCGUAAAGGGCGCGUAGGCGGCCAGAUAAGUGGGGUGUUAAAUCUCCCGGCUCAACCGGGAACCUGCACCUCAUACUGCCUGGCUUGAGUACAGCAGAGGAGACUGGAAUUCCCGGUGUAGCGGUGUAAUGCGUAGAUAUCGGGAGGAACACCAGUGGCGAAGGCGAGUCUCUGGGCUGUAUCUGACGCUGAUGCGCGAAAGCUAGGGGAGCAAACGGGAUUAGAUACCCCGGUAGUCCUAGCCGUAAACGGUGGGCACUAGGUGUUGGAGGCAUCGACCCCUCCAGUGCCGCAGCUAACGCAUUAAGUGCCCCGCCUGGGGAGUACGGCCGCAAGGUUGA
rnacentral:rRNA from 1 species